CCUGCCCGGUCCUGUCCUGCCCUCCAUCUCUCAAGAUGUUCUCACCUUUCACCAGAGACCUGGGAUCCUGCCACACGCACGUCCAGCCUCAGUUUUUACGCGCGAAGUGUCACCUAUUUCUGAGCCUGAAAGUGAAAAAAAUCUAAAAGCCUAAAUAUUCCCACUUAGUGAAGAACUGCUGCUGCACUUGCCCUUGGUUUGUCAUGUGUGCUAUAGAUUAUGCAUUCAGAGGAUUUCAUGGGAUGUUGACGCCAUGCUGCACUCCCAAUGAUAAUGAAGGCUAUAAAAAGACCUGAUGUUUCCUUGACCCCACCAUCGCCAUGAAAAGCUGCAGCUCCAUGGACUCAGCUGAGAUGGUAUGAAGAGUGUGCUCCCUUCUGGAUGGAGUCUGUAAUUACACCUGGGGGGUAAUUUGACUCUGCACCCAAGCUUCAGUCAAGUCAUUUGAAUAAUAUUCACCGUCUGACUAUUUGUUUGUGAGGUUCCUUCUGUUUCCCAGCAUAGUUUUCCUGAACUAGUCGAGACACGACUAACUCGGGCUUUGCUACAAGUUGAGCUCAUUAAAAGCAAUUACCACAGUUUGCACUCCUCGCUUCGGGCAAAGCGGUGAUUAACUCAUUAUCUCCACAGCGUCACUACAAACACUUCAGAUUAUAUUUAAAUUGCAGAUUCUCUCUGUCCAAUUUUCUGCUCCCGAGGGAAAUUCUUUCAAAAACACUGACAUUUUUGCUGCAACAUAUUCAAGGCCUGUAUUUCCAUAUGCAAGUUUGCAUAUUUUGUGCAAUGUUGAUGCCCAUAAAUGCACAGAACCUGACUAUAAGUUAUGUGUAAUGAAUAAGUCAUAGAGAAAACCUGCUGUUUCCACACAGUAUCUUAUAUCCCCGAGUCCCAGGGCUCAGACGCCAAACGACCCAGUCACCUUUGAUGUUGAUCUUCAGACUGAGACACGGCCAGAAGGGCUCGGCCAGGAGAUCUCAGGGUGUUGUCGGAUCAUAAAGGGUUAAAGGAUCAGAUAUUGAAGAUACAAAAUAUAUAUAAUCAUCAAAGGUAUACAGCCGAUAAUGUAAUCGACAGCCGUGCCACAGUUAUACAGGCAGGAGCAAAGGGUAUCAAGUGAU